UGUUUAGUACCCUAUCACAUGUUCGAUUCAUUUACUCUAUAAUGGGUGAAAAAUUCCUUCCAGUUUAUAAUAUAUAAAUUCUCUGCCCGACUAGUGAUUGGUUUACUUAAGUGUUUUGUCCAAAAUAAUCAGGGAAGUUUCUAGAAAUGCAUGUAGCUCUAAGGAUACUUUUGCUGCCGAGCUGUCCCUCCAGUCGCUUCAUCCUUAUUUUUCAGACCGGCAAAUCAGCGUUUAUAUAAUGGUUCUUCCGCAUCUCACCAACGUUAAUAUAUUGUUGAAUAAAAUGUGUUUAUAAUAAUAAGA